ncrna:unclassified sequences Actinomyces-1 RNA
CUUGCCGCCGGACGGAACGGGUCGCGAGGGUUGGGGAACCCGACGACCUACCCUGACCGAGCACUGUACGGGUCCAAGGGAGCCCGCACGGAGCGUUCUGGCGAAGGAG